UGGGGAAUUUUGGACAAUGGGGGAACCCUGAUCCAGCCAUCCCGCGUGUGCGAUGAAGGCCUUCGGGUUGUAAAGCACUUUUGGCAGGAAAGAAACGUCGCGGGUUAAUACCCCGCGAAACUGACGGUACCUGCAGAAUAAGCACCGGCUAACUACGUGCCAGCAGCCGCGGUAAUACGUAGGGUGCAAGCGUUAAUCGGAAUUACUGGGCGUAAAGCGUGCGCAGGCGGUUCGGAAAGAAAGAUGUGAAAUCCCAGAGCUUAACUUUGGAACUGCAUUUUUAACUACCGGGCUAGAGUGUGUCAGAGGGAGGUGGAAUUCCGCGUGUAGCAGUGAAAUGCGUAGAUAUGCGGAGGAACACCGAUGGCGAAGGCAGCCUCCUGGGAUAACACUGACGCUCAUGCACGAAAGCGUGGGGAGCAAACAGGAUUAGAUACCCUGGUAGUCCACGCCCUAAACGAUGUCAACUAGCUGUUGGGGCCUUCGGGCCUUGGUAGCGCAGCUAACGCGUGAAGUUGACCGCCUGGGGAGUACGGUCGCAAGAUUAAAACUCAAAUGAAUUGACGGGGUC
rnacentral:rRNA from 1 species